rnacentral:misc_RNA from 1 species
CCAACUGCCCAAUGAAUGUAAAAACUUCUGCACACCCUAUAAGAAAAUACUGUGGAACUUGCCAAAAUACAGAUAUCGGCACUUGUUUAAUUUCAUAGGAGUUGUGUCUUCUAACAGUUCCGAGUCUUAUCUGUUCUAAAACUGCUGCAGAUACCAUGGCAAAUAUUGAUAUGAAGAGGCCAAUGCCCAUCCUCUGAAGUUGAGUCAAGCCAUAUUUGUUACCUGUGAAUCUUCUUGCAAAUGGCACAAUAAUGCGAUCAUAGAUGGGGACCCAAAAGAUAACACUGAGGGUGUCGAAGACGGAAAGAGAUGCGGAUGGGAUCUGGAACUUGGAAUUGCCAACAAAUUUAUUCAUUUGAUCACCUUGUAACACAAAUAAGUUGCUCAUCUGGCUGUACACUGCAGCAAAGAUUAUGCCAGUGGCCCAUAUUGGGAGCAACCGGAUGAUGGAUUUUAGCUCUUCAACUUGGGUUACGGUGCUAAGUCUCCAUGGGUUUACAGAAUCCUUUACAUUAUCUUUUUCCGUUUCCACUGAUGCCUUGUCAAAGAAACUGAAAUCUUUGGUGUGCUCAACCUUGCGGCUUCCUUUGAUGUUGGAUUCAGCAUCUGCUGUCUCAUACAGAAGAGACUUGUCAGCAGGCACUUCAACUUUGUAUUUCCUGAUGGAUGCUACUAUCACCUGGCAGAGACGUGUGAGAGGGCUGCCUCCUGGCUUUUGGUACCUGUACAGCCGAGUACCUGAAAAGAAGCUCACAACUGCAAUUGCCAUGGCAAUUGCAGUUGUGAGCUUCUUUUCAGGUACUCGGCUGUACAGGUACCAAAAGCCAGGAGGCAGCCCUCUCACACGUCUCUGCCAGGUGAUAGUAGCAUCCAUCAGGAAAUACAAAGUUGAAGUGCCUGCUGACAAGUCUCUUCUGUAUGAGACAGCAGAUGCUGAAUCCAACAUCAAAGGAAGCCGCAAGGUUGAGCACACCAAAGAUUUCAGUUUCUUUGACAAGGCAUCAGUGGAAACGGAAAAAGAUAAUGUAAAGGAUUCUGUAAACCCAUGGAGACUUAGCACCGUAACCCAAGUUGAAGAGCUAAAAUCCAUCAUCCGGUUGCUCCCAAUAUGGGCCACUGGCAUAAUCUUUGCUGCAGUGUACAGCCAGAUGAGCAACUUAUUUGUGUUACAAGGUGAUCAAAUGAAUAAAUUUGUUGGCAAUUCCAAGUUCCAGAUCCCAUCCGCAUCUCUUUCCGUCUUCGACACCCUCAGUGUUAUCUUUUGGGUCCCCAUCUAUGAUCGCAUUAUUGUGCCAUUUGCAAGAAGAUUCACAGGUAACAAAUAUGGCUUGACUCAACUUCAGAGGAUGGGCAUUGGCCUCUUCAUAUCAAUAUUUGCCAUGGUAUCUGCAGCAGUUUUAGAACAGAUAAGACUCGGAACUGUUAGAAGACACAACUCCUAUGAAAUUAAACAAGUGCCGAUAUCUGUAUUUUGGCAAGUUCCACAGUAUUUUCUUAUAGGGUGUGCAGAAGUUUUUACAUUCAUUGGGCAGUUGG